AUUGAACGCUGGCGGCAUGCCUUACACAUGCAAGUCGAACGGCAGCACGGGGGCAACCCUGGUGGCGAGUGGCGAACGGGUGAGUAAUACAUCGGAACGUGUCCUGUAGUGGGGGAUAGCCCGGCGAAAGCCGGAUUAAUACCGCAUACGAUCUACGGAAGAAAGCGGGGGAUCCUUCGGGACCUCGCGCUAUAGGGGCGGCCGAUGGCAGAUUAGCUAGUUGGUGGGGUAAAGGCCUACCAAGGCGACGAUCUGUAGCUGGUCUGAGAGGACGACCAGCCACACUGGGACUGAGACACGGCCCAGACUCCUACGGGAGGCAGCAGUGGGGAAUUUUGGACAAUGGGGGAAACCCUGAUCCAGCAAUGCCGCGUGUGUGAAGAAGGCCUUCGGGUUGUAAAGCGCUUUUGUCCGGAAAGAAAACCUUUGGGCUAAUACCCUGAGGGGAUGACG
rnacentral:rRNA from 1 species